GGGAGCCGGAUGCACGGAAACGGGCACGUCCGGAUCUAAAUGAGAGGGGCGGGAGAUAAUACUCCCCCUCGACUCAAC
rfam:Crinalium epipsammum PCC 9333, complete genome.